rnacentral:rRNA from 1 species
ACUAGACCUGAAAUCAGCCGAGGAUACCCGCUGAAUUUAAGCAUAUUAUUAAGCGGAGGAAAAGAAAAUAACUAUGAUUCCCUUAGUAACGGCGAGUGAAGAGGGAGGUGCUCAAAGUGAAAAUCGUGAUACCUCCCUAUGGUACCGCGAGUUGUAGCCUCUAGAGGCGUACCA